AUGAGAUGCAUGUGCUCAAAGUUAAGCCUGUACUCAAGUGCUUUGCUGGACCAGGGCCAGGAAGCUCAGCAUUCUACAGAACGAAGCUGCUUUUGGUUUUCAUGGUUAGCCAUGGUAAUACAGGAAAUACAGGACUACCCAAAUAAGAUAUGUCCACAUCUUAUGUGGCUUUGGAAAAAUUCUAAAGCCUGGAAGGAUGAAGAGAAAAUCCUGCUGGGAUCCAGCUCUGUUCCUUUUGGGCCAAAAUAAGUGAAAGUCUCAGAAGGCGUUGCUAUACUGUCACCUGGGGUGGUCUUAGGGUCAUUCAUGAUGUAGCACGGCAUGUCAUCCACAGGGCUGCUCAUGACAUUGCUCACAGGCAACAGAAUAUGGAUGCUGGAAGCUGCACAAUGGACACACUCUUCAGUGCAAAGAGCCUUAAGUCUGUGCUGGUGUAACUGAAAGCAAAACAGCCUAAAAUUCACUAUCUAAAUGGGCUCCUCUACGUUGCUAUGAAUAAUCUGUGUGUGUUUUCUCAGUGCUCUUAAUGCAUGGCCUUUUGAAACUGAUUUUAAAAUGUAACUGAAAGACUCUACAAUAAUAUUAUCUCUCAAGAGAACAAAGCCAGGGCAUUAAAGUUAAGCUGCUCAGUUCAUUUUUCUUCUAUAUCUGUUUUGGUCAGCACCUGAUUAGGACCUGAAAAAAAUUCUCUGAUUUUUCUUAUAUGAACAAUAUAACCAAAUCUCCCUCUAUUUCUGUCAAAGAAUUAGGUUAGCUGAAGACAAUGAAAGUUUUGAUUCAUUUAAAGAAAGCAAGAAUGGGUCUAAAUUAAUCCUUUUACUGCAGCAAAAUCUAUUCACACAGUGUAACCUUUUUCUCUCAAUCUCUCUUUUUUUUUUUUUUUUUUUUUUCUCCUAUGGUGCGCAGACAGGUGUAGAGUUAAAACAGAAAUGAGGUGUCAUGUGAGCUGUUGUUAUCCCAAGC
rnacentral:lncRNA from 1 species